GGGGUCCACGUCCGCAAGAAGGAUGGGAGGUGGAACAGCAGACUGCGUGUGCGGCUGUACGGGCUAUCUGACCUUAGGAGAGUCCCCGAAGAGGCGCUACUCUCGAGCGGCGGGUCGUGAGGAGCCAGGGAUCCUGAAGCCCUGCCAGGUCCUUGCACUUUGCAUGAGGAAAUUAAGGACCAGGAUCGAGGUUGUGCAGGCGCCUCCUUGAUUACCAGGCCCCUUUCGACCCACAGAGCCUUCUCAUUGGCUGUUCCAUGGGCCUGGAAAACUCUCCUUACCCAUAACUCAACUGGUUCCCCCGGGGGGGGGGGGGCGCUCUCCCUCAGAGGCUUAACUGACUUCACCUGAGGAUCCUUCUAGCUCUUAUAACUAGUCUCAGGCCUCAUAGGAAUGUUUAGAGCAUUAAAUGAGGUCGGUUAGGCUGCAGGUCAGUGCCCUGCAUACUGUGAGAAUUCAGUAAAUGUCAAUAGUUAUUAUUAUGCCUAGUUUGCUCAUAAGUUCAUGUCUGUCUCUUCCUGUGUUGGAUUCCCAAGACCAAGCACCAGUACCUGGCAGGUAGGAGGAACCCAACAAUGAUCAAUAAAGGAUCUACCAGUAGACCAGCCAGAGCUUACUGGUGUCUUGGCACCUGAAGUAGGGAGGUGCUAUCCAUGUGAAGCAAGAGUUUCUCCAUGUCAGGCCAGCACAUGGCUGGGGAUGCCCCCAAGCCAGCCUCCUGGUCUUCAAAUCCCAGAAUGGAGAGAGCAGAGGGCUCAGCAGGAGAGAGCUGUCACUUUGGGCCUUGGGACGUGCCUGUCCUCACCCUCACAAGCAUAUUGUGUCAUGAGCGAGACUUGGCCCAGCCUGCCCACCCUUCCCUGACUUCUGAGUGCUUCUACCUCCUGCAGUGUGGCUCUUGCCAGCUUGCUUGGAGAUAUAUGUUUAGGGCUCUUCUUACCCACCAGACUGGGCCAACACAGAGUCCUAUUUCUCUUUGUAUUCCUAACUUUGUCAGGCCCCAUGCUGUGGAUAAGGGAUGCCACACUGACAAACAGGGACACUGGGGAAGAGCCCUAUGAGCAGGAUGAGCAAGAACCUGCCGUGGGGGGGGGGGGCAGUUUAGCCAAGGGAACUGUAAAGUCAGGGCACAGAGGUGGCUAGUUCUAGUGGCAGAAAGGCCAGGGAGACUGGAGCUAGAGGGCCAAAAGGUGCUGAGUUAAGAGAUGAGCAGGGCCAGGCUGUGGAGGUCUUCAGGCCAUGGGAAGAGGGCUGUGGCUUACCCUAAGCACAGGGGCAGAGGCCAUCAUUGGAGGUGGGGUUAAUUCAGGCCUGUGAAAGCUCUACUGAAGAGAGGCAGGGAGCCUAGAAGAAGCCUGAUGCAAGCAUCCAGGCAAGAGGUGGAGACUGAAACCAGGCUGUAGCAGGGAACAUGAAGGAGGCAGGGCAUACUUCAGAGACAAACAGCUGUAGCACUGAUGACAGCAGCAGGCAGCGAAACCACUGAGCUAAAUCCCCGGCCCGGAUUUUGGAAAAUGGAGGAUCCACAAUUGAAAUGGGGAGGCGAAAGAGGACCAGGUUGGACAGGGGCUGGGUGGUGGCAGCAGGAGCUCCGUGUGGGCCGUGCUGAGUUUUCAACACCUAUUAGUCACCAGUGGAAAUGCCAAGUAGUGAUGUGUCUACAAGCUCCCAGCUGGGCAGAGAUGGGGUUUCUCUCUCCUUUGUACUCCAGCACCCUUGCCAGAGCCCAGCACAAUCCUGGCACCAGAUAAGAUUAGUGAGAGAAGGAACGACUGAAGCUGGACGAAAAGGUUUACAGUAGGCUUUCCGAGACCACCAGAGGGCAGCACCAUCCCAAAGACCAGUCUCCCCAGGGUGGUGAAGGCCCUCCACUGUCCUUUCCAAG
rnacentral:lncRNA from 1 species